rnacentral:rRNA from 1 species
UACAGAGGUCUCAAGCGUUGUUCGGAUUCAUUGGGCGUAAAGGGUGCGUAGGCGGCGCGGUAAGUCGGGUGUGAAAUCUCGGAGCUUAACUCCGAAACUGCAUUCGAUACUGCCGUGCUUGAGGACUGGAGAGGAGACUGGAAUUUACGGUGUAGCGGUGAAAUGCGUAGAUAUCGGAAGGAAGACCAGUGGCGAAGGCGGGUCUCUGGGCCGAUACUGACGCUGAGGAGCGAAAGCGUGGGGAGCGAACAGG